GACGAACGCUGGCGGCGUGCCUAAUACAUGCAAGUCGAACGCUUCUUUCCUCCCGAGUGCUUGCACUCAAUUGGAAAGAGGAGUGGCGGACGGGUGAGUAACACGUGGGUAACCUACCCAUCAGAGGGGGAUAACACUUGGAAACAGGUGCUAAUACCGCAUAACAGUUUAUGCCGCAUGGCAUAAGAGUGAAAGGCGCUUUCGGGUGUCGCUGAUGGAUGGACCCGCGGUGCAUUAGCUAGUUGGUGAGGUAACGGCUCACCAAGGCCACGAUGCAUAGCCGACCUGAGAGGGUGAUCGGCCACACUGUGACUGAGACACGGCCCAGACUCCUACGGGAGGCAGCAGUAGGGAAUCUUCGGCAAUGGACGAAAGUCUGACCGAGCAACGCCGCGUGAGUGAAGAAGGUUUUCGGAUCGUAAAACUCUGUUGUUAGAGAAGAACAAGGACGUUAGUAACUGAACGUCCCCUGACGGUAUCUAACCAGAAAGCCACGGCUAACUACGUG
rnacentral:rRNA from 1 species